UCCAAAUAACGUAAUAGUUUAAUGUCCAUUUUAUUGAAUUGAGUUUGAAAGUAUUCAACUGAAGACAAUUAUUCAGUACCGGUACUGAGUUUCUUCAUUAUGUCUCAGUGGUGUGUUGGAUAGAUUUGCAGGUACCUUCGAAUCCGCGUAUGCCAGAUGGUUAAUCGUGGAGAUCAAACAAACUCUACAAAAUACGUCUGACAUAAUAAUCGAUUAUUAUAUAUACAUCAAAAUAGAUCAAAUAACUCGUACAUUUCAAAAUAAAAGUACAUACAACUUUAUAAAAUUGAAAUACCCAUUUAAUAAUGGCGACCAGCAUUGAUUUUUAUGCUCUCUGACGUCCUCCAUCUUAACAUCAUCACAUUCAUGCAUGUGUCGACCCAAGCUGCACAUCACAUUC